GACGAACGCUGGCGGCGUGCCUAAUACAUGCAAGUCGAACGCAUUUUCUUUCACCGUAGCUUGCUACACCGAAAGAAAAUGAGUGGCGAACGGGUGAGUAACACGUGGGUAACCUGCCCAUCAGCGGGGGAUAACACUUGGAAACAGGUGCUAAUACCGCAUAAUUCCAUUUACCGCAUGGUAGAUGGGUGAAAGGCGCUUUUGCGUCACUGAUGGAUGGACCCGCGGUGCAUUAGCUAGUUGGUGGGGUAACGGCCUACCAAGGCUGCGAUGCAUAGCCGACCUGAGAGGGUGAUCGGCCACACUGGGACUGGGACACGGCCCAGACUCCUACGGGAGGCAGCAGUAGGGAAUCUUCGGCAAUGGACGCAAGUCUGACCGAGCAACGCCGCGUGAGUGAAGAAGGUUUUCGGAUCGUAAAACUCUGUUGUUAGAGAAGAACAAGGAUGAGAGUGGAAAGUUCAUCCCUUGACGGUAUCUAACCAGAAAGCCACGGCUAACUACGUG
rnacentral:rRNA from 1 species